rnacentral:rRNA from 1 species
AGCAGCCGCGGUAAUUCCAGCUCCAAUAGCGUAUAUUAAAGUUGUUGCAGUUAAAAAGCUCGUAGUUGAAUUUCGGGAUCAAUACGUCGGUCGUGCUUUCGGGUACGUACUGGCGUCAUUGGUUUCUCCUUUCUGACGAACCAUGAUGUCAUUAAUUUGGUGUUAUGGGGAGUUAGGACUGUUACUUUGAAAAAUUAGAGUGUUUAAAGCAAGCAAUCGCUCGAAUACAUUAGCAUGGAAUAAUGAAAUAGGACGUUCGAACCUAUUUUGUUGGUUUCUAGGAUCGACGUAAUGAUUAAUAGGGAUAGUUGGGGCAUUAGUAUUCAAUUGUCAGAGGUGAAAUUCUUGGAUUUAUUGAAGACUAACUACUGCGAAAGCAUUUUGCCAAGGAUGUUUUCAUUAAUCAAGAACGAAAGUUAGGGGAUCGAAGACGAUCAGAUACCGUCGUAGUCUUAACCAUAAACUAU